rnacentral:lncRNA from 10 species
CGAUAAGAUAAGCAAAUUCACAGCAGUGACAGCAGAGUGUUAAAACAAGCACAGGGCCUCUUGUGAGGGUGGGCCUAAGUGAUGGCACAGGCUACAUUCCCAUGAAGCCACCCCUGCUUGUGGGACUAGGUCAGGCAUGUGAUGGGGCCCCAUGCUGGACUUAACAUGUCUGGGCAUGCAUAACUGAGUAAUAGGGUAAAUCCCCUACAUCAAUUUUCUGGUUUUCCUAUACAAAAAAGCACAAAGUAUGUGCUUCACAAGGGACUGGGUUGGGAGAAUAAGAAGUGCCAAUUCCUGGACCCUGGCCCAGCCCUGAGGAUGGGCAUCUGACUGAGCCCUUUGCAGAGUGAGGCUGCAAGCAGAAGCUGAAGGAGCCGUUUUUCUCAAGGGCCCUGUGGAUGUGGAGAAGCCUGCAGGGAUGCUUGGGGGUUCAGAUGACUGCAUGGCACAGAGCCUCCCACAGCUCUGAAGAGCAGUAAGCCAGGUACUGGACAACUAAGCACUGCAGAAAGACCCAGUUGGUCUGGUCCCUCAGGGCAGCAGCUCUGGGGGGCACCGCCACAGCUUUUCACUGUGGAGAUCAGCAGCAGCAGCUAUGGCAGCAUCCUGACCUCACAGGCCUUCCUGCCUUGCAUGGAGGAGCCAGGCAGGAGAGGAGCAAGACCUGUAGAAGCCUGGGUGAUAGAAGACUACUUGUGAGCUGGUGUGAGUCACGCUCAGCAAAGGGGGAAGAAGCAGUAAAAUGGGGUUAGAAUCAUUCCUGGGACUCUGUUUGUAACCAAGGGUUCUAGGGAAGACUGGUUACAGAAGUGAUCUUGGUGUUGAGCACUUAAAGGCCCAAGAUGGACCGGUUCUAUGAAGGUCGGCAGCAUGAAGGUCAUGUGAGCACACAGUGAGAAAGUGGCCAUCUGCAACCCAAGGGGAGAGCCCUCACCAGACACCAAUCAUGUUGGCACCUCGAUCUUGGCUUUUCAGUCUCCAAACUGUGAGAAGUUUCGUUGCUUAUACUGCCCAGCCUAUGGCAUUUUGUUAUGGUAGCCUGAGCAGACUAAUACAACUAAGAUCAAGCAGAACAAGAAUUAAUUAGAUGAAACGGAAUGAACUGAUGAAGAAUAGUUAUGGCUUUUGUUUGAAAUAUUGUUGCUGGAUUUAAGGAACCCCUUUCUCUUUCCUCUGAAGCUAUCUGUAACUCAUUAAUAGAGUAUGCUUUUGUAAACAGAAUGAAACAUUUACCCUUUAUCCUUGCCUAGACUUUCCAGAAUUUGGAAAGUCAUAUUGAGUAUUCUUAUUUUCACGGUAAUAUAAUUAUUUGCAGAGAUGCAGUCAGAGUCUGUUCUCCUUGAACAGUUCAGAGGUUCCUCAGAAAACUCAAAAUAGAGCUACCAUAUGAUCCAGCAAUCCUACUACUGGGUAUAAGCCCAAAAGAAAGGAAAUCGGUCUAUCAAAGAGAUAUCUGCACCCCCAUGUUUGUUGCAGCACUAUUCACAAUAGCCAAAAUUUAGAAGUAACCUAAGUAUCCAUCAACAGAUGAAUGGAUAAAGAAACUGUGGUACAUAUACACAAUGGAGUAUUAUUUAUCCAUUAAAAAGAAUGAGACCCUGUCAUUUGCAACAACAUGGAUGGAACUAGAGAUCAUUAUUAUAAGUGAAAUAUGCCAGGCACAGAAAGACAAACGUCACAUGUUCUUACUUAUUUGUGGGAUCUAAAAAUCAAAACAGGCUGGGCACAGUGGCUCACACCAGCACUUUGGGAGGCUGAUGCGGGCAGAUUAGUCGAGGUCAGGAGUUCAAGACCAGCCUGACCAACAUGGUGAAACCCCAUCUCUACUAAAAUACAAAAAUUAGCCAGGCGUGGUGGCAGGCACCUGUAAUCUCAGCUACUUAGGAGUCUGAGGCAGGAGAAUCACUUGAACGCAGGAGGCAGAGGUUGCGGUUAGCCAAGAUCAUGCCACUGCAUUCCAGCCUGGGCAACAGAGGGAGACUCCCUCUCAAAAAAUAAAUAAAUAAAUACAUAAAAAUAAAAACAAUUGAACACAUGGAGAUAGUAGAAGGAUGGUUAUCAGAGGCUGGGAAGGGUAGCAGGAGAAUGAUGGGGGGAGGUGGGGAUGGUUAAUGGGUGCAAAAAAAAAGAAUGAAUGAAUGAGUAAGACCUGGUAUUGAAGAGCACAACAGGGUGACUAUAGGCAAUAAUAAUUUGAUUGUACAUUUGAAAAUAACUAAAAGAGCAUACCCAGCACUUUGGGAGGCCGAGGCGGGCGGAUCACGAGGUCAGGAGAUCGAGACCAUCCCGGCU